GACGAACCGUGCGAACGUUGUUCGGAAUCACUGGGCUUAAAGGGCGCGUCGGCGGGCUGACAAGUCUGGGGUGAAAUGCCGCGGCUCAACCGUGGAACUGCCUUAGAUACUGUCGGCCUCGAGGAAGGUAGGGGCAUGCGGAACUGUAGGUGGAGCGGUGAAAUGCGUUGAUAUCUACAGGAACUCCGGUGGCGAAAGCGGCGUGCUGGACCUUUUCUGACGCUGAGGCGCGAAAGCUAGGGGAGCAAACGGG
rnacentral:rRNA from 1 species